GUGAACCAUCGAGUCUUUGAACGCAAGUUGCGCCCGAAGCCCUCGGGCCGAGGGCACGCCUGCCUGGGCGUCACGCAUCGCGUCGCCCCCUCCCCCCGCUCCCCGGAGCGGGGGGU
rnacentral:rRNA from 1 species